rnacentral:rRNA from 1 species
AUUGAACGCUGGCGGUAUGCUUAAGACAUGCAAGUCGAACGGAAACGAUGGUAGCUUGCUACCAGGCGUCGAGUGGCGGACGGGUGAGUAACGCGUGGGAAUCUGCCCAGUAGCGGGGGAUAAGCCAGAGAAAUUUGGUCUAAUACCGCAUACGCCCUACGGGGGAAAGGCUUCGGCCACUAUUGGAUGAGCCCGCGUUAGAUUAGCUAGUUGGUGAGGUAAAGGCUCACCAAGGCGACGAUCUAUAGCUGGUCUGAGAGGAUGAUCAGCCACAUUGGGACUGAGACACGGCCCAGACUCCUACGGGAGGCAGCAGUCGGGAAUAUUGGACAAUGGGGGAAACCCUGAUCCAGCAAUACCGCGUGUGUGAAGAAGGCCUGCGGGUUGUAAAGCACUUUCAGAGGGGAGGAUAAUGACGUUACCCUCAGAAGAAGCACCGGCUAACUCCGUGCCAGCGCCGCGGU